rnacentral:rRNA from 1 species
UACGUAGGUUGCGAGCGUUGUCCGGAUUUACUGGGCGUAAAGCGCGCGCAGGUGGUCCUGAAAGUCGAGCGUGAAAGCUCCCGGCCCAACUGGGAGAGGCCGUUCGAAACUUCAGGACUUGAAGGCGGGAGAGGCAAAUGGAAUUUCCGGUGUAGCGGUAAAAUGCGUAGAUACCGGAAGGAACACCAGUGGCGAAGGCGGGUCUCUGGGCAGUAACUGACGCUGAGGCGCGAAAGCGUGGGGAGCAAACAGG